UACGGGGGGGGCAAGCGUUGUUCGGAAUUACUGGGCGUAAAGCGCACGUAGGCGGCUUUGUAAGUUAGAGGUGAAAGCCUGGAGCUCAACUCCAGAAUUGCCUUUAAGACUGCAUCGCUUGAAUCAUGGAGAGGCGGGUGGAAUUCCGAGUGUAGAGGUGAAAUUCGUAGAUAUUCGGAAGAACACCAGUGGCGAAAGCGGCCCGCUGGACAUGUAUUGACGCUGAGGUGCGAAAGCGUGAGGAGCAAACAGG
rnacentral:rRNA from 1 species